AAAAACUUCCCUCUUACGCCUAUUCGUUUCCCUCUCCAAGAAAAUCAGAAAAACAAAGAAACCCCUAAACCCUUUGUCAUUCCAUGAUUCGAUAGUUGAAUCAGUGAUUCCGUCGUCGUAGUUGUUGUAGUUGUCGUAGUUGCCGUCCAACUUUCUCCCAAGCUUUUGUCCCUCAUCUCGCUCAUCUUCCCUAAACGCUCUACGAAGGUUCAUAUGGCGAGGUAUACCAGCUAACUGGAAUGGCAUAGGUGCAGGGCAAUGGAUCGAUAAAGUCACUCAAUUACUGCUACCUACCUACGUCCACAUUUUGACCUUGAAGUGUUCCUAAUACACCUUUGGAUGCAAGAGGAUCUUCUGGUGUUAGCAACCCUUAGUUUGCUUAUGGUGUAUAUUGGAUUUAAAGUUUAGUACAAGACUAAUAUUACUUUGUUAUGGAUUUUAUGUAAUACUUUGAUUUACAAUAGAAAAUUAAAUUGUAAAUCUUUGAACUAUACGCUAUUAUUUUGGUUAUUGGAAAUAUGAUUUCUAUGUCUA